ACGAACGCUGGCGGCAUGCCUAACACAUGCAAGUCGAACGGGAUCCGGACUUCGGUCCGGUGAGAGUGGCGGACGGGUGAGUAACACGUGGGAACCUGCCUUUUGGUUCGGGAUAACCGCGGGAAACUGCGGCUAAUACCGGAUACUCCCGAGAGGGGAAAGAUUUAUCGCCAGAAGAGGGGCCCGCGUCCGAUUAGGUAGUUGGUGGGGUAAUGGCCUACCAAGCCGACGAUCGGUAGCUGGUCUGAGAGGAUGAUCAGCCACACUGGGACUGAGAUACGGCCCAGACUCCUACGGGAGGCAGCAGUGGGGAAUAUUGGACAAUGGGGGCAACCCUGAUCCAGCAAUGCCGCGUGAGUGAUGAAGGCCUUAGGGUUGUAAAGCUCUUUUGCCAGGGAAGAUGAUGACUGUACCUGGAGAAUAAGCCCCGGCUAACUUCGU
rnacentral:rRNA from 1 species